rnacentral:tRNA from 1 species
GCCGGGGUGGCGGAACUGGCAGACGCAUGGGACUUAAAAUCCCAGGGUAGGUGUCUACCGUACCGGUUCGAGUCCGGUCCUCGGCA